rnacentral:rRNA from 1 species
CCUACGGGGGGCAGCAGUGGGGAAUAUUGGACAAUGGGCGAAAGCCUGAUCCAGCCAUGCCGCGUGUGUGAAGAAGGCCUUCGGGUUGUAAAGCACUUUCAGUGGGGAAGAAAGCCUUGGGGCUAAUACCCUCGAGGAAGGACAUCACCCACAGAAGAAGCACCGGCUAACUCCGUGCCAGCAGCCGCGGUAAUACGGAGGGUGCGAGCGUUAAUCGGAAUUACUGGGCGUAAAGCGCGCGUAGGCGGUCUGAUAAGCCGGUUGUGAAAGCCCCGGGCUCAACCUGGGAACGGCAUCCGGAACUGUCAGGCUAGAGUGCAGGAGAGGAAGGUAGAAUUCCCGGUGUAGCAGUGAAAUGCGUAGAGAUCGGGAGGAAUACCAGUGGCGAAGGCGGCCUUCUGGACUGACACUGACGCUGAGGUGCGAAAGCGUGGGUAGCAAACAGGAUUAGAUACCCCUGUAGUC